GAGCGCGGGUGUCGCGUUUGGAGCGCAGGAGCGGAACCAGCAGUCCUCCUCUCCUUGCCUUUUGGGGCCAGUGGGCAUGUCCAGGGAUGGGGUCACGCACAGGUGUCUUACAGAGAAAUGUGCAUCUCGGAGUCUGUCAACAAAAUUUUUAUUUCAAGUCUGUGCAACGUGAGGAUUGUUGAAUUUCUGUCCUUCUGGUAUUUAUGGAGGACCCACAAAAAGAACUACUCUGAGUAAAUAAACAGAGAAGAUUAAAGGCUGUCCUCUAUGGGGGGCACCGUUUAUGAGGCAACAAACCAGGAGAGUUGUCUCUGGGAUUUUGUGAUGCUGCUCCAGCCCUGCAGUGGAAACACAUCUCAUUUACGAGUCAUUUCAGGAAGUUUAGGCUCCUCAGCUUCUGAAUCGUAGCAUCCGGAGGCUCUGAGUCUAUGUGUCUGUUGUGGGAGUGUCCCUGCGAACACACAGAGAAGAAAGUGUACUGGUUUCCUAGGGCUGCUGCAGACUCGGUGGCUUAAACAACAGGAAUGUGCUGUUCUGGAGGCUGCAAGGCCAGGAUCAAGGAAAAUGGUAGGAUUGCAUUUCCCUCUUCACCUGGAGUUUGAUGUGGCUGUAUGACUGGAUUUGGACAAUGAAAUGCGGGCAUAAGUGACACAUGUCACUUCUGGGAUGCAGCUUUCAGAGCCAGUGUGUAAUUCACCAUGUCCUCUUCCCCCUGCCAUGACAACCUGCAAUGCUCCGGCCAGGGUGGCUCCUCUACUAAAUUAAUUAUCUGGUUCUCCUGGAAAGCAAUCUUUCCCCCAGUUCAUGUUCCGUUCUUGACCUAACAUGGCCAUUCUUGGCCUUUUGAAUGGGAUUCGCUUCCAGUGGGGAAUUGAAUUUCCAUAGCAACGCCGCGGCCAUCUUGAAAGGACUCUCCAGCUUCUCAUCUCGAACGCGGGCCGGGGGUUGCUUGCUGAUGCAGAAACUCUGGGGAAAUGACUUGAGCAUGGUCACUGACAAAUGAAAAAUCCGGACCAGGAUUUUGCGGAGCCACUCGACAGAUGAGAAUCUCAUUUCGAGGCUCCUCAGAAGGCGAACUGCACCCCCUCCCUCAAGCCUCUUCUCCAGUCUCAUGGUUUUCAUGACCACUAGGGGAAGACGACGAAUUCCAAGGUAGGGAACCAGUUUUAUCAGCUGGGCAAUGGAAGAGCAUCCCUGCUUUGUAACCAGAGGAGUGCUGCUGUUAGCGCUGGGCUUUAUAGAGAUUGUUCUGAUGGGGGCAGGGGGCGGCCAGUGUGGAUGUGGGUGGCGCAGAGCUGUUGGAGGACCAUGGUGUGGAUAAGUCAUUGGGAUGAGGAGAUGGGAUAUGGUCUGGAUUAAGGCCCGGUGAAGACACACCUGGCAGGUAACUGGAGUGGGGGCAGAGAUGGACCUUCAGAUGCCUAAAGACCAUCUCAUCCUGUCUUCAAGAAAAGCAUCCCCAUUCCCUGUACCUGGCUCCAAAGGGGACCAGCAUCUUCUUGCAUUCUUGGGUACACCUCUGACCCCUGGUCUUUCAAGCCAUACCACAGCAAGGGACAGAACUGCCACCAUUAGAUUCUGACCCCCUUGAUAUGCUGAGACCUGGGGUAGGGAAUGUCUGAGUCCACCCUGGAGUUUCUUGGGGGCUCCACCUCUCUACCAUGUCACCGCUUCUACCGGGCAUCAGGGGGGAUGGACAGCUGGCUCAGGCCUGGGAUCACCUACCACAGCCCCCCUCCCCCACACUGGGCAUCAUCAAAAGAAUCUUUGGUGUCGCCGACCAAGUCAGCAGGGGCUGGGAGGGAGCCUGGAGCUUUAUUAACUAAUCUCUGGUACUUGAGUAAUUUAUUAUGUUUAAGCUGGUGCCAUCAAGUCUCUCAGCAGUGCCCGCGUGCGCUGGGAAAUAAAUUAAAGGCUGUCCAGAGAUACUUGGAUCAUCUGUGUGAUUGCUGGGCUGGUGAGAUGGAGGUUUAAGGCUCUCUCUUCUUGCAAAUUGGAAAUUAGGAAUUAAUAAGACAGCAGGCCAAAGAGCUGCGGUGGUGGUGGUGGUGACUUGGCUGCAGGGCCAGGAACGGGGGAGGGAAGGCCGCUGCCAGCAGGGCAGGGAGGAGCGGGCAAACCCAGCCAGGAGCUCUACGUGGUGGGCAAGCCAAGGGGGGGCUGGGCGAGGGGGCGCUUUCUCGGCCUUUGGUGAAGGUAGCAGGGGUUUUUCUGCCUCUUGAAAGAGGUUAAGUGGGUGAUGGAGAGAACCCUAGCUUGGGAGCCAGAGGACCUGCUUGUGGCCCUGGUCUAGAUGCUGCCUGCCGUGAGACGUUGGCAGGUCCUUUCUGAGCUUCCAUCUCAUUGACAAGAUGAGGAGGGUGGAUUCAGGGUUCACAUUUCCAUCAGGCACAUGGAAAUAUUUUAUUUUGUAUUGUUUUAUUUAAUUUUAUUUAUUUCAUUUUAUGCUAUUCUAUUUUAUUUUUGGCUGUGCCCAUGGGAGUUCCUGGGCCACAGCAGCAACCCAAGUCACAGCAGUGACAACGCUGGAUCCUUAACCUGUUGAGCCACCAGGGAACUCCUAUUUUUAAUUAAAAAAAUUUUUUUAUUGGAGUCUAGUUGACUUACAGUGUUGUGUUAUUUUUAGGUGUACAGCAAAGUGAAUCAGCUAUACAUAUACGUUAUUCAUUCUUUUUCAGAUUCUUUUCCCAUAUAGGCUAUUAGCAAAUAUUGAGUAGAUUUCCCUGUGCUAGACAGUAGGUCCUUGUUAGUUAUCUAUUUUAUAUGAAGUACUGUGUUUAUGUUAAUCCCAACCUGCUAAUUUAUCCUCUCCCCCGCAACAUUUCCCCUUUGGUAACCAUAAGUUUGGUUUUGAAAUCUCUGAGUCUGUUUCUGUUUUGUAAAUAAGUUUUGUAAACAAGAAAAAAAAAAAACUUUUGGGUAGAAGAAAUGUUAUAGGGUGUAGUAUAAAUAUAUUCAUCUUUAUACCAGAGCUGUCAUAAAAUGUAAUUUUUAUUACAGACACUUUUGUGUGUGGAGGCCGUGGCCCAGCCACUGUGGGUCCAGCUGACCCUAAGGCCCUGCCUGCCCUAAUGGCAGUGGAUUUCCAACACACUUGUCAGCUCCUGGCUCCAGGUCUGACUUGCUUCUAGCUCAUGAGCUCUUCAAGAGCAGGGCCUGGAGUUCCCAUCGUGGAGCAGUGGACAUGAACCUGACUAGUGUCCAUGAGUGUGCAAGUUUGAUCCCUGGCCUUGCUCAGUGGGUCAAGGAUCUGUCGUUGACGUGAGCUGUGGUGUCAACGUGGCUCGGAUCUGGCGUUGCUGUGGCUGUGGUGCAGGCCC
rnacentral:lncRNA from 1 species